GCCCCAGUAGCUUAGCCCGGUGGAGCGGAUGGCUGUUAACCAUCAGGUCAUCGGUUCAAAUCCGAUCUGGGGCG
rnacentral:tRNA from 1 species